GUAAUGGUGUCUUUAGACACCACCUCUAUGUUCAAAAAAAAUUCUU
rfam:Picea glauca, whole genome shotgun sequence.